UCAUCUUCUCCAUCAUCUUCUUCUCACCAUCUUCAUCAAUUAUGAGGUGAGUUCUUAGAUUGUUUUAGCAUUUGGGGGAAAUAACCUAUACUUGUGGGGUUAGGGUUUGUAUGAAAUUGUGAUGAACUUGUUGUGUUCAUACUCCCUAUCCAUGCUAUGUGUUGAUAUCAUGUUGUUGUUGUUGAAAUUGCGAUACUUGGGUG
rnacentral:lncRNA from 1 species